rnacentral:ncRNA from 1 species
UUUCCGGGAAUGAAGUUCUCCCUUGGGAAUGAUACCCCUAAACCGCUUACUAGGCUGAUGACUUCUGUGAU